rnacentral:rRNA from 1 species
CCUACGGGAGGCAGCAGUAGGGAAUCUUCGGCAAUGGGGGGACCCCUGACCGAGCAACGCCGCGUGAACGAAGAAGUUAUUCGUAAUGUAAAGUUCUUUUAACAGGGAAGAAAGAGAAAUUUGACGGUACCUUAAGAAUAAGCUCCGGCUAACUACGUGCCAGCAGCCGCGGUAAUACGUAGGGAGCGAGCGUUAUCCGGAAUUAUUGGGCGUAAAGGGUACGUAGAUGGCAUAGUAAGUCUUUUGUAAAAAUGCUGGGCUCAACCCAGUAGGGCAAAAGAUACUGCAAAGCUUGAGUAUGACAGAGGCAAGUGGAACGACAUGUGUAGCGGUAAAAUGCGUAAAUAUAUGUAAGAACACCGAUUGCGAAGGCAGCUUACCAAGCUACUUCUGACGUUGAGGCACGAAAGCGUGGGGAGCAAACAGGAUUAGAUACCCUUGUAGUC